UGAGACCAUGGUGACAGAAAGUGAG
rnacentral:piRNA from 1 species